GAAAGACGAGGUGGGAGGGGGAACUGGGAGGCGGAGGCCGUGUCACGUGGAGGAGAGAGGCAGAGACAGCUCUUCCGAUGAGCGGCGGAAAGAGCCGAAGGGAGAGAGUGAGGCCGAGGCAAGGCGGAAAAAGCCGGAAGGGGCUGAGCUGAAGUUCGCGGGAGGCGGGAAGAGCCGAAGUUGCCGAUGGGGGUGGGGCUAGGGAAAGAAUGGGAAGCCCUUUGGUGCCGGAAAUAGCCGAAGCGAAUCGGGACUGGGAAAUAACAAGAAACUGAGGUGAUCCGGAAAGAACCGAAGGCAGUGUCGAGGAAGGAAUUCAGUGAGAGAAAAAGUGAUAGGAAAAAGUGGAUUUCGAUAGAGAGAAACACCCUCCACAGAGUGUGGGCCAUCUCAGAAGACGUCGACCGAACCUCCCCCGGUCCACAGAAAGACCUGCUCAACCAUAAAGAGAAACAUUCUCUGAGCAUCAACAAGACAACUCCUUAAAAGAUAACAUCUUCUUGAUUUUGUAAGGGACCAUGUGACCCACCCCUCUGGACCCCAGAGCUGAAUUGUGCAAAUUGUGAAGAGGGAAAUUUCCCACUCCCUUACGGCAUCACCAACUCAAUGGACAUGAGUUAGAGCAAACUCCAGGGGACAGUGAAGGACGAGGAAGCCUGGCGUGCUGCAGUCCAUGGGGUUGCAAAGAGUCAGACACGACUGAGCAACUGAACAACACACUGUAUCUUGGAGCAUCUAGAGAACCUCCUCUUGCAUGGGGCCCAGAAGCCCUAGGGUUUCCUUUGGUGAUGUCUUGCAACCAUGAUACAAAUUGCCGCCAAAACUCCUAGAGGGCCUCCAAACAUUUUGGCUCUCUGGUAGUAGGGGUGGGGGGAAAUACAAGUUUUAGCAACUUUCCCUUUUUUGGGGGACGAAAAAAAAGAAUUCAUUCCAACAUAUCUCUUCUUCUGGAUCUCCAAAACAUCUUUGAGCUGGCAGGUGCCUGUAUUUUUCUGAGACAGAACCUUCUAUACUGUGCAUAAAUCUGUAACCAAUGAAACCAUAGCUCCUGUUUCAUUGUC